GGGAUUGCCCCAGUAACGGCGAGUGAAGCGGCAACAGCUCAAAUUUGAAAUCUGGGGCCCUUUGGGCCUCCGAGUUGUAAUUUGCAGAGGGUGCCUCGGAGGGCGCGCCGGUCCAAGUGCCUUGGAACAGGAUACCGCAGAGGGUGAGAGUCCCGUAUCCGGCCGGCGUGGCGCUCCGUGUGAGGCCCCUUCGACGAGUCGAGUUGUUUGGGAAUGCAGCUCCAAGCGGGUGGUAAAUUCCAUCUAAAGCUAAAUACUGGCCAGAGACCGAUAGCGAACAAGUAGAGUGAUCGAAAGAUGAAAAGCACUUUGAAAAGAGAGUCAAACAGUACGUGAAAUUGUUGAAAGGGAAGCGCAUGGGGGCAGACUUGGCCGCGGGGUUCAGGGUGCGUUCUCGCGCCUGUACUUCCCCGCGGACAGGCCAGCAUCGGUUUCGGGGGCCGGACAAAGGCGUCGGGAAGGUGGCACUCUUCGGGGUGUGUUAUAGCCCGGCGCGCAAUGCGGCCACCUGGGACCGAGGACCGCGCUUCGGCAAGGAUGCUGGCGUAAUGGCCUCAUGCGGCCCGUCUUGAAACACGGACCAAGGAGUCUAACAUCUAUGCGAGUGUUUGGGUGACAAGCCCGAGCGCGCAAUGAAAGUGAACGGAGGUGGGAGCCCUCGGGCGCACCAUCGACCGAUCCGGACGUCUUCUGAAGGAUUUGAGUAAGAGCAUAGCUGUUGGGACCCGAAAGAUGGUGAACUAUGCGUGAAUAGGGUGAAGCCAGAGGAAACUCUGGUGGAGGCUCGCAGCGG
rnacentral:rRNA from 2 species